rnacentral:rRNA from 1 species
UACGGAGGAUCCGAGCGUUAUCCGGAUUUAUUGGGUUUAAAGGGUGCGCAGGCGGGAGAUUAAGUCGGCGGUGAAAUUUUGCAGCUCAACUGUAAAAGUGCCUUCGAAACUGGUUUCCUUGAGUGUAGAUGAAGUAGGCGGAAUUUGUGGUGUAGCGGUGAAAUGCAUAGAUAUCACGAGGAACUCCGAUUGCGCAGGCAGCUUACUAAACUACUACUGACGCUCAGGCACGAAGGCAUGGGGAUCAAACAGGAUUAGAUACCCU